rnacentral:rRNA from 1 species
AGCGUAGACGGCAAGGCAAGUCUGAAGUGAAAGCCCGGUGCUUAACGCCGGGACUGCUUUGGAAACUGUUUGGCUGGAGUGCCGGAGAGGUAAGCGGAAUUCCUAGUGUAGCGGUGAAAUGCGUAGAUAUUAGGAAGAACACCAGUGGCGAAGGCGGCUUUCUGGACUGUAACUGACGCUGAGGCUCGAAAGCUAGGGUAGCAACG